rnacentral:rRNA from 1 species
GUGCCAGCCGCCGCGGUAAUACGUAGGUGGCGAGCGUUGUCCGGAUUUAUUGGGUUUAAAGGGUGCGUAGGCGGCCAGAUAAGUCAGUGCUGAAAUACCCCGGGCUUAACCGGGGGGUGGCAUUGAUACUGUUUGGCUUGAGUACAGAUGAGGUAGGCGGAAUUGACGGUGUAGCGGUGAAAUGCAUAGAUAUCGUCAAGAACACCGAUAGCGAAGGCAGCUUACUAAGUUGUAACUGACGCUGAUGCACGAAAGUGUGGGAUCAAACAGGAUUAGAUACCCUGGUAGUCCACACU